GCCAAUAUAGUGUAGUGGUUUGAGUGUUGGACUAGGAUUCUGGAGACCAGAGCUCAAAUCCCAGUUUGGUCA
rnacentral:tRNA from 1 species